GAGACUGGAAUUCCUGGUGUAGCGGUGGAAUGCGCAGAUAUCAGGAGGAACACCGAUGGCGAAGGCAGGUCUCUGGGCCGCAACUGACGCUGAGGAGCGAAAGCAUGGGGAGCGAACAGGAUUAGAUACCCUGGUAGUCCAUGCCGUAAACGUUGGGCACUAGGUGUGGGACUCAUUCCACGAGUUCCGUGCCGCAGCUAACGCAUUAAGUGCCCCGCCUGGGGAGUACGGCCGCAAGGCUAAAACUCAAAGGAAUUGACGGGGGCCCGCACAAGCGGCGGAGCAUGCGGAUUAAUUCGAUGCAACGCGAAGAACCUUACCAAGGCUUGACAUGCACCGGACGCUGCCAGAGAUGGUGGUUCCGCAAGGUCGGUGCACAGGUGGUGCAUGGUUGUCGUCAGCUCGUGUCGUGAGAUGUUGGGUUAAGUCCCGCAACGAGCGCAACCCUUGUCCUAUGUUGCCAGCGGGUUAUGCCGGGGACUCAUGGGAGACUGCCGGGGUCAACUCGGAGGAAGGCGGGGAUGACGUCAAAUCAUCAUGCCCCUUAUGUCUUGGGCUUCACGCAUGCUACAAUGGCCGGUACAGAGGGCUGCGAUACCGUAAGGUGGAGCGAAUCCCAAAAAGCCGGUCUCAGUUCGGAUUGGGGUCUGCAACUCGACCCCAUGAAGUCGGAGUCGCUAGUAAUCGCAGAUCAGCAACGCUGCGGUGAAUACGUUCCCGGGCCUUGUACACACCGCCCGUCAAGUCACGAAAGUUGGUAACACCCGAAGCUCAC
rnacentral:rRNA from 1 species